AAAGCUAAGGUCCUGCAAGGGGAGAGUUCAAAUAUAUCGCUUCAUCUUGCCUUUUUUUCUUUUCCUUGUCCCAUCUUUCUUCUUGGUCUUGUGUGUUAAUUUGCUGUUCUUCUUCCAGCUCGAUAUAUCUCACUUCUACCACAUUGCAAGAAUCUUUGUUUUUUUUGCACUGGUGUCUUUAAUUUCCAGUAGAUGCUAGGAUUUUGAAAUCAAGUGAAGGCUACCUGAGGUUAAUUUUCUUGAGAGGAGUAUGGAGAAGACGAAGGGAUGGACAGAUAGAGAGAGAGAGAGAGAGAGAUGUUAGCUAGUUUGAUUCAUCCUGGAUGAAAACACAAAUGCUCUUGCGAAUGAGUGAAGCUGCCAGCAUGAUCUAGCUCUGAUUUGGUUGGCACCAUAUUAGCAGGCGUCCACGCACAGCUAGACUAGAGUGGCCUCGCGCGCUCUCGUCUGGUCUGUGUCUCGCUUUGUGCCUGCAAAUCGUUGUUAGAUCAUGCAUGACAGCCUCAUUCCUUCACAAUUCUGGGGCAUGUAUUGCUGAUGACGCUGCGCCUUCUUGUUUUUUUGCUGCAACUUUGAGAAAGAUAGAUCCAUCUGCAUGCUUUUUUCCGCUGCUAUGGUGUAUGGUUGUGUGCUGC